UUCCAGACUCCUACGGGAGGCAGCAGUGGGGAAUAUUGCACAAUGGGGGAAACCCUGAUGCAGCGACGCCGCGUGAGCGAUGAGGUAUUUCGGUAUGUAAAGCUCUAUCAGCAGGGAAGAAAAUGACGGUACCUGACUAAGAAGCCCCGGCUAACUACGUGCCAGCAGCCGCGGUAAUACGUAGGGGGCAAGCGUUAUCCGGAUUUACUGGGUGUAAAGGGAGCGUAGACGGCAAUGCAAGCCAGAUGUGAAAGCCCGGGGCUCAACCCCGGGACUGCAUUUGGAACUGUGUAGCUGGAGUGUCGGAGAGGCAGGCGGAAUUCCUAGUGUAGCGGUGAAAUGCGUAGAUAUUAGGAGGAACACCAGUGGCGAAGGCGGCCUGCUGGACGAUGACUGACGUUGAGGCUCGAAAGCGUGGGGAGCAAACAGGAUUAGAUACCCCAGUAAG
rnacentral:rRNA from 1 species